rnacentral:rRNA from 1 species
AGAGUUUGAUCCUGGCUCAGAUUGAACGCUGGCGGCAGGCCUAACACAUGCAAGUCGAGCGGUAGCACAGAGAGCUUGCUCUCGGGUGACGAGCGGCGGACGGGUGAGUAAUGUCUGGGAAACUGCCUGAUGGAGGGGGAUAACUACUGGAAACGGUAGCUAAUACCGCAUAACGUCGCAAGACCAAAGUGGGGGACCUUCGGGCCUCAUGCCAUCAGAUGUGCCCAGAUGGGAUUAGCUAGUAGGUGGGGUAACGGCUCACCUAGGCGACGAUCCCUAGCUGGUCUGAGAGGAUGACCAGCCACACUGGAACUGAGACACGGUCCAGACUCCUACGGGAGGCAGCAGUGGGGAAUAUUGCACAAUGGGCGCAAGCCUGAUGCAGCCAUGCCGCGUGUGUGAAGAAGGCCUUCGGGUUGUAAAGCACUUUCAGCGGGGAGGAAGGCGUUAAGGUUAAUAACCUUGGCGAUUGACGUUACCCGCAGAAGAAGCACCGGCUAACUCCGUGCCAGCAGCCGCGGUAAUACGGAGGGUGCAAGCGUUAAUCGGAAUUACUGGGCGUAAAGCGCACGCAGGCGGUCUGUCAAGUCGGAUGUGAAAUCCCCGGGCUCAACCUGGGAACUGCAUUCGAAACUGGCAGGCUAGAGUCUUGUAGAGGGGGGUAGAAUUCCAGGUGUAGCGGUGAAAUGCGUAGAGAUCUGGAGGAAUACCGGUGGCGAAGGCGGCCCCCUGGACAAAGACUGACGCUCAGGUGCGAAAGCGUGGGGAGCAAACAGGAUUAGAUACCCUGGUAGUCCACGCCGUAAACGAUGUCGAUUUGGAGGUUGUGCCCUUGAGGCGUGGCUUCCGGAGCUAACGCGUUAAAUCGACCGCCUGGGGAGUACGGCCGCAAGGUUAAAACUCAAAUGAAUUGACGGGGGCCCGCACAAGCGGUGGAGCAUGUGGUUUAAUUCGAUGCAACGCGAAGAACCUUACCUGGUCUUGACAUCCACAGAACUUUCCAGAGAUGGAUUGGUGCCUUCGGGAACUGUGAGACAGGUGCUGCAUGGCUGUCGUCAGCUCGUGUUGUGAAAUGUUGGGUUAAGUCCCGCAACGAGCGCAACCCUUAUCCUUUGUUGCCAGCGGUUCGGCCGGGAACUCAAAGGAGACUGCCAGUGAUAAACUGGAGGAAGGUGGGGAUGACGUCAAGUCAUCAUGGCCCUUACGACCAGGGCUACACACGUGCUACAAUGGCAUAUACAAAGAGAAGCGACCUCGCGAGAGCAAGCGGACCUCAUAAAGUAUGUCGUAGUCCGGAUUGGAGUCUGCAACUCGACUCCAUGAAGUCGGAAUCGCUAGUAAUCGUAGAUCAGAAUGCUACGGUGAAUACGUUCCCGGGCCUUGUACACACCGCCCGUCACACCAUGGGAGUGGGUUGCA